CCUACGGGUGGCAGCAGUGAGGAAUCUUGCACAAUGGGGGCAACCCUGAUGCAGCGACGCCGCGUGGGCGAUGAAGGUCUUCGGAUCGUAAAGCCCUUUUCUGCGUGAAGAGGACGGACGGUAGCGCAGGAAGAAGCGUCGGCUAACUACGUGCCAGCAGCCGCGGUAAAACGUAGGACGCAAGCGUUAUCCGGAGUGACUGGGCGUAAAGGGCGUGUAGGCGGCGUCUCAAGUGGCUCGUGAAAGCCUUCGGCUCAACCGGAGGAGGUCGGGUCAGACUGAGGCGCUGGAGGAGGCCAGAGGGACACGGAAUUCCGGGUGUAGUGGUGAAAUGCGUAGAGAUCCGGAGGAACACCAGUGGCGCAGGCGGUGUCCUGGGGCGAACCUGACGCUGAGACGCGAAAGCAUGGGGAGCGAACGGGAUUAGAUACCCCUGUAGU
rnacentral:rRNA from 1 species